rnacentral:tRNA from 1 species
GGGGAUUUAGCUCAGUGGCAUAAGCACCUGCCUUGCAAGCAGGUGUUCGAUCCCUG